AUUGAACGCUGGCGGCAUGCCUUACACAUGCAAGUCGAACGGCAGCGCGGGGCAACCUGGCGGCGAGUGGCGAACGGGUGAGUAAUAUAUCGGAACAUACCCUAGAGUGGGGGAUAACGUAGCGAAAGUUACGCCAAUACCGCAUACGCACUAAGGUGGAAAGUGGGGGAUUCGCAAGAACCUCAUGCUCAUGGAGUGGCCGAUAUCUGAUUAGCUAGUUGGUGAGGUAAAGGGCUCACCAAGGCGACGAUCAGUAGCUGGUUUGAGAGAACGACCAGCCACACUGGAACUGAGACACGGUCCAGACUCCUACGGGAGGCAGCAGUGGGGAAUUUUGGACAAUGGGGGCAACCCUGAUCCAGCAAUGCCGCGUGAGUGAAGAAGGCCUC
rnacentral:rRNA from 1 species